GAGGGUGCCCAUUGGGUCAACUUGGCAUGGUAAGGGAGCCUUGGGGAGAUCACGGUCAUCCUGCAGGACCCUGUGCCAUGACAAAUACUUAAUGUAUUAUUA